rnacentral:lncRNA from 1 species
ACCUUUUCCUUGUGUCCUAUAAAUGAUGAGUCCGCUCACGAUAUACGAUAUAUAAAAUCAACAGCAGGCGUAUUGCGUGGCAUGGGCCUGCACAUAUAUUUAUGUGUUCAUUUAUUCUCAGAAGGCGCAGCAGAGGUAGAGAGAGAGAGAGAGAGAGAGAGACGGAGAGACAGGGAUCUUCCAGUUCAGAUCGAUCCUUAUCUCUGAUGUCUGACCCAUUAAUGGUAACGGGUGGCCUAAGCCUAGGUCAUCAUCUAUGGCGCCAGAAGGAGAGUUUGAUCAGUAUAUAUAUGCCUCCUUAAUUAAGACCCAAAAUUAUGAAUACCGCUGAAGUGCAGCUAAUUAUUGGCACUUCAGUCUAAAUAUGAUGGAAGUUGUGCUCACUUCUCUAAAUCUGUCAAUUUGGUUGAGCCCGCCUGAAAUUGUCUUGCAUGGCUGGCUGGCUGGCUUGCUUUUGAACAUCAAUCAGGUGAGAUCUCAAGUGUUUGCCUGCCUGAUGAGUAAAUGGUCUGGUGUGUUUCUGCAAAGGGGGCUUGCCUUCUUUCUUCUUUCAAGAAUCAACACAGGGCAGUACUGUGUCUUUAAACUAAUUUCUUUAGACUUCCAGUAGCUAGUUCCAGUAGCUGUGAAUUGUGGUAGAAUUAAUGAUCUUUUGUAGAUUGUAUAUGAUGAAUGCAAAAUCUUCUCACCCAUGUAACCGUACAAAUUUCUGUCAUCUCAUGUUUGACAAUCCGAGUGAAAAAAAAACCACCCCUUUCUCUUGUUAAUUUCUUCUUUCUUUCUUGUUAAUCUCUGUAUAUCUAUCUGUUAAUAAAUAGUUAACAGCGAUCACAGGUCUUUUUCCUAUCGCUUUUUCCCCUUUCCUUUCUUUCACUCUGAUUCUCGUUCAACUUAUGAGGAUAAAGAAAAAUCAUUGAAUGAGAUUAAAUAUAUGAUUUAUUUUGCUGAAAGAAAACCUUAUGGUGUUGAAGGAUACAGAGUUAAUUUUUAGAAUCAGCUAUAACAUGGAUGCCUGGCCUUUGGGUUAGGGGCAGAGCUGAAAUUACCUUAAUAAACAAAGAAACAUAUUGAAUUAUGCUCAAAAGAAGUGGACGAGGCAGGCGAGGACCACUUUCGUUUUACCGUUCAAGAGUUUUCUUUGUUGGCUUUCUAUAUUGGAUAAAAUAGGAUUUCGGUGACAAGGAAAUGAUGGCAACCAAGAGAGAAGCGAACAAGAAUGAAGACGAUCCCCAGUACAGGAAUAGAAUCAUCAGCCAAUCUCUCGAAGUACUACCGUAGUAGAAGUAGAUGGAGACCACCCACGGCAGAUCAGGGCAUGUGUGUUUAGGAAUGAAAGGAACUUGCACUUCAAUUUUGAGCCAAUGGUCAAUCGCCCCAGUCCUCUAGUGUUUUGUCUGGAAAUUUGAGCUACUCCAGACCGGAUAGUCCGCGGGCCGGGUUGAUUUUUUUUGCAGUGUAAAAAAAUGAUACUCAAGCAUUGUAAGUGUAUUUUAAAAAUAAUAAUAAUAAUAAUGACUCAAUAUCAUUAAAAAAAAAACGAUUGUAAGUUCACAAGAAUGAAAACGAAAAUAUAGAAGAAAAAAUUGAAAAAAAAUAAUAAAAACCAAAUCUUGAAAAAUAAAGCACCAACAAAUUUUGGUGAGAGUGUCAAAAUUUACGAGUGAAAUCAUGCGAAUGAGAUAAUCUAAUUAAAAGUAAAACAAGUAAAAAGACAAUUUAAUUAUAAAAUAAAUCAAAUUUUAAAGGACAAUAAAAAAGGAUAAAAAAAAUGACUUAAAAAACCUUAUAACCACUAUGACAAACCUCCUAUCUGGAUAAUGAGAUAGUAAUAAGUUGAUUCAAAAUGAAAUUGAAUGAAAUAAUGAACUUUAUUUUUCAAAACGAACAACUUCAAAUAACAUAAUCGGGAAAGAAAACGAUGUCAAUUCAUGUUAACUUCUCAAACUUAUGGCCUUAGCUAGUGACAAAACUGGAAGAACCGCAUGUGAAAAGCCACUAUUUUAAAACUCUUAAACUCAACUCGACCCGAUAGGUUGACUUGUGAUCUAAGUGACAUGUGGUUUAGACCGAAGAGGAUUUCAAAAGAAAUUGGGAGAGGGUCAACCCUGGAAAAAUCCAAUUAACGGGGUUAAAACCCAUUGCUUAUUUUGGUUUUUUUUCUUUCAAAAUGGUAUCUUUUUUAGUUUUUUUUAUAAAGCAAAAAGAUUUGGUUGACUUGGGUUCACUCAGGUCAACCCACUCAACCUAUAACCCAAUACCUAUAACCCAAUACUUGUUUUGAAUUGACUCCAAGGUAAGCCCUAAAACAAUGAGAAAAACCAAGUAGAUCAAAUAAAAAAAAUAAAAUGUCGAAUAAUAAAAUAAAUAAAGAAAUAACAAUGAAGAGAAUGAAAACUUUAUUCGAGAAAAAAAAAUGAAAGGAGUACCUACAAUUUUGAAUUGAAGGGAAACUUAGAAGGAAAGGAGAGAGAGAUCAAAAUUAACAAAUUAAUCCAAAACAAAAAAAAUUAAGAGAAUAAGGAUCGAAUUAAAAAAAUUAAAAAAUUAAGACUAUAGAUUUAAUAAUGAAAUUAAAAACAAACUAGAAUUUGAUAAAGAAUUAGGAAUCAAAAUUAAAAAUUAAAAUAUUUAGGAUCAAAUCUUAAAUAUCAUUAAGUCUUGAGUUGAAAGGUAAAAUUGAAAAGAAAAAUUAAAUUAACAAAAUAACUUAGAAUAAAAAUAAAAAUUUAGAGAAUGAAAAAAUUAAUUUUUUUAAUGUUUUUGAAUUUGUUAAAAGGUGGUAUCAAAAAUAAAUUUUUAAAAAUAAAAAUAUUAUUUUUAUAUAUUAAUAUUUUUAUUUAAAAAAAAAAAGAAAAAAAACAUUCUUUUCCGUGGCACGGGAAAAAUGGAACCCCCAGCACACACAAGUUGCUUGUCUGGGCGGAAACAACCACCUGAUCUCUUCCACUUGACAGAAGAUUUCAGGAGAUUCACCAGUCAAAGGGUUACAUUUGUGGCUCCAAUCGUGACAGCGAAAAAGAACUGGACAAGGAAAGGCUGAAGGCAAAUGCUAGCUGGCAGGCCGCCCACAGGAGUAGAGAUCUUAUCAUCUUACGGGUCAGUCGAGAGUGCAUGCACCGAUGAAAUUAGCUCAUUACCGUUGGAUACAGCGACCCCCGAUCUUAUGGGAAAUGGAUUAGAGUUUUUUUUUUUUUUUUUGUGGAAAAUAGCAGUCUCUGAAAUUCCUGGAAAAAAGGUAGAAAGUUCAUUGAGAUUGCCUCAUUAACAGAGUCUUUAAAAUUUAAUCUUAUUUUCAGUAAAUAGACAACGUAGUUACUUGUAAAUCUUAAUCUAAACUCCUAAUAGCUCAUGCGUGGAUUAUUUUUUAAGACUAUUUUUCUAUUAUCACAAAAAAAAAAUUGUAAAUUUUUGACAUUAUCUCAACACAAUAAUCUGUUAAACUCCUAAUAACUCAGAAAAGUUUGAAUUUUAAAAGUUACGGUAAUGUCGUGUACUAUUUUUUUUUUAAUGAGUUUCCUUUCUUAAAAUACAAGCACAAGAUUCAAGUACCAGUCUGGAGCAGUCUUGUCUUCGGCUUCAGCUUCAGGGUAACUAGCCAUGGAAGCAAGACUGGGGCCCGCUCGCUUCUUUUGUUGUCCUUUAACGGUACCGAACCAUCCUCAACAUCGCGAUAUUUAUUUUUGAGUUUUAAAAAUAGUUUUAAAAAAAUUAUCUUUUUUAUUUUUAAUUAAUAUUUUGAUAUUUUCAGAAUAUUUUAAUAUAUUAAUAUCAAAAAUAAUUUUUUAAAAAUAAAAAAUAUUAUUUUAAUAUAUUUUCAAAUCAAGAAAUAUCACAACACUUCUAAACAUCAUUGUUGCAAAAACCGAGGGAAGGGUGCCUGACAACAGCUCCUAUGAAUUUUUCCGUUUUCAAGAAGCAAAGCCGCAAAGCAUCGAGUUAAUAAACAGCAGACUAGCAAAGCAUGAUGUAGUUAACUUGGUCACAAAAGAGCCACGACAACCAAUGCAAAAGUCAAGAGAAAAGCUCACUCACCAGUCACCAGGGCUCCAAGCCUCCAACAAAGGAAAAGAUGGUCAGUUAAUCUUGAUUUGUCCCUUUUUAUGAAGCACCAGAUGGUUCCAGCUAUGGGCCCUGUCUAUAAAAAAAAAUAACAUAAAUUUUAUACGUGUCACAAUCAAUUAGAGGAAGUGAGUUUUAUCCUGCCUAAAUCUUCUUCUUCUUCUUCUUUUCAUGUAAUUAAAAAUAAAAUCCAUCGGUCAACAAAAAUAAUAAUAGAAAUUCAGUAACAAUACAGCAUAAAUUUUUUUUAUAAAACAACUAGAUUAUAGUCCACUCAAACUCUUCUACUAAUUCAAAUAAUAGGACCACAAAAUUCUUCCCUAAAUCAACUAAAAUAUAUACAUCAAAUUACUAAAUCCAUCAUCACAAGGAUGGAUUCCAUCAAUAACAACAAAGAAAAAAAUAGGUCAAAUCUCAUCAAUUAGGUCUUUUUAAAAUACCUAAAAGUAAAAAUUUCUUAAUGAUCAACACCAUCUAAGUUUAAGAGAUUGUUGCUGGGAAUUUCAAAAUCUCAUCUUAAUUACCAUCCGAUUAAAGUACGAAGAUGAAAACACAUUUUUUCUUCACUCUUUCUUAUUUUUCUACCAAAAGGCCCCCCCCUUUCGUUUUGUAUUUGUUGGCUCACAAUGAAAAUAGGUUAAAGUUAACUUUUCAUACCUAAUCACUUAUAUCUCCUAAAAAGUUUUAAGCCUUUAUCUUUUAUUUUCAUAGUUUAUACGAGAUUAUGGCCUAAAAAUGAGGGACCAAACUCAAUAUAGUUUAUGUUUUGGAAAUGAUAAACUUGUGCAAUACAUAAAAGCAAAUAUGGUUAAUCAUGUUUAUUCUAGAAAGUCCAUAUUGGGAUACUUAAUGACCUUUACUCGAUGAGCAGUUUUAUGACAAUCAAGAUUGCAAAAAUGUGUUACAUCAUUCACUGCAGAGGUUAAAUACAUUGCUUUUAAUAAAGAAAAAAUGAGUUCUUAUGUAUGACAAAGUUCUUAUAUGAUCUUAUUCAUGUGCAAUAGAAUUUUGAGCCGCACUAUGAUAGUUUUACUGCAAUCCAUCUUAGUAAGCAUCCUACUUCUCAAUCUUUAUCAAAACACAUUUAGGCUAUAUAUCAAUGGACUCAAGAUGCUAUGAAGAUGAAGUUUUUUUUUUUCUAGAAUAAUCAUACCAAUGAUAAUAUAUUGGAUAUGAUGAUCAAGCUUUUACCAAGAAAUUUUUUUUACUUUUGUAGAAGUUAGGCGAGUUUGCUAGAGUUCUCCACGUGAAUUGGAAGAGAGAAUUAUUUGGUUGGAUCCAAACUCUUUGGGGCCAUAACCUAAAUAAACUAAAAAAAAUAAGGACAAAGGCUUAAAACCUUUUACAUUAUAAUGGUGACAAGAUGUAAAACACCAAGUUUAGCUUGUGUUUAUUUGUGUGAGCCAACAUGUACAAAAUAGAAAAAAAUGAGAAGAUAGUAAUUUAAACAGUUUUUAUUUAAACUUUGACAACGCAAUCGAUUCAUCGUUUGAUCAAGCUAGAUUAUUUUAUAGCAAGUCUCGAAUACAUAACUCUUCAUUUUGUUGGUUGGAUAGAAUAUUAAAGGUGUUUAAUUUAGCAUAAUCUUCACGUAAACAUGACAAUCAGUUUUAUGAUAUUCUUUUUAAAUUUUUUUUUUAAUGUUGAUGUAUUCCAAUAAUAUUUUGUUCUGGAUGAUUUAUGUUUGUGGCUUUUAAUUUUGAGUCUCUUAACCAAGGAAGAACUCUGGUAUACCCAAUAUCAUUAUUAAUAGUGGAAAUUUGUAAUAGGACUAUGGUCCCAUAGUUGUUUUCUAUAUAGAGAUGUUUUUCACAUAAAAUUUUUAUAUUGAAUUAUUAUGAUUACUUGUUUAGUUUAUUGAUUAAUUAACCUUAUUUUUAAUUGCAAAAAAAAGAGAAAAUUUAGUACAUGUGAAUUGUGAAUUUGAUUACAUUAAUAUUUUUUUUAACGUAAAAGACCUGGACUCGGGCUAAAAUUGAGUUCGUAGAUAACGCUAUUAAGUAUUUUCUUAGAAACUAGAAAAACCAUCACAAUAUAUGAAGAUGCUAGAGUUUAUCAUUUUAUCCGACAGACAUGAUGAACAGUAAGAGGAGUUCUAGCCUAUCUACUUUUAUUACCAAAUUUACUUUCGGCAACUAAAAUUUUGUUAAACAUUACAGGACUGGAAUUCUAGCCAGUGUCCGAACAAUACGUUUCCGUUUUAGAAAGGAAAAAAAAAACAACCUUUUGCACCCCAAAUUGAUCAAAUAUAUAUUCUUCAACUCUCAAACAUCACCGAUCAACAAAUCAUGAAUAAAAGCCACAACUUUUCCCAUAAACUCUGCGGGGAAAAAACAACCAAUGCACCAAAAUCUAAAAUGUUUAGCAGCCCACACAAGGAAGAAUUUCAGGGAGUUCAAAAACCAAAAGAAAUACACAAGCUAGACUAUCCCAGCUCAGAAAAAUAAAAAAGAAAUAAUAUGCAUAAAAAAACAAAUAAUUAUCUUCAUUUUAUUGUAUUAGUAUUAACCUCUCCUAAGAGUAUGUUUGGCAGUGUGGUUACGGGUGCUUUUCAAAUAACUUUUCGUGUCAAAAUACAUGCUAAUGAUGUUUUUUUAUUUUUUAAAAAUUAUUUUUGACAUCAGUACAUCAAAACAAUUUAAAACGUAUAAACCAUAUUAAAUUUUAGAAAUUUUUUUUUUUUUAGGAACGCAGGUUCAAAUGCGUUCCCAAACGUUACCUAAAUAGAAGUACAGUCUGUUUGGUAUUAUAUAAUGUGUUUUAAAAAAAUAUUAAAAAAAAUAUUUUUAUUUUUAAAAUUUUAUUUUUAAUAACAACAAACUAAAAUAAUCUAAAAACAUAAAAUAAACAGCUACCGGAUUACAUAGCCGGAAGAGAACUUUCAUUUAUAUAAAUAUAUAUAUAUAUAUUAUUUUUGCCCUCCUCGACGGUUCACUUUACUAUCCUUUUCAUUUAUUCAACUGUCAUUAUCUGACGUACCAACAAUGUUAUAUUUCCUUUCGUUUUUAAUUUAUUUAGGGAAAAUUACCCUUCACACUACUUUGCAUGGUCAACACAAAUCUUUAAAUUCAAUAAAAAGAACAAAGUACCUCUACAUAUAUUAUAUCAGAAAUUCUCACUCUCUCUCUUUCCCAUCUCUCUCACCAAACCCUAACCACCAUCUACCACUCCACAACCAAUCAAAUCCUGGUCGUUGCCACUAUCAAGCCCUUAUCUCUCUCCUUCACCAAACAUAGCUGCCCUUCACCUCCUUCUCCACCAAACAGCCUAGCUCCGCCAUAACAUUAUCCCCUUCCAUGACCAUAAGGGCUUCGACUACCAGUUGGUGCAUUUUGCUAGUUUUCCUAUUUUCUAUUUUUUUUCCCUUAUUCGGCAUUUUAAAAACUUUAUCAAGAAAAAUCUGAAUAGAGGAAAAGGUACAGCUGCCUUUAAAAUGAAUUGAAAUUGCUUGCAAUUUCUCAGUUUAGAAAAUAUUUGUGAGAUUAGUUUGGUGGCCAGGGUUUUUUUUUAUUAUUAUUUUAAGACGCGAGGGGAAAUCCCCCGUUUCUGUAUGAAAGCGAAGGCUCAAAUCUCAUCUGGGCUGAUCAAGCUAAGCCUAUGGGCUACCUGGUUACAAUCCGCUGACAGCGGGCUAAUAAUGGCUACGUUCCGGUUUCUGAAUAGCUCGCUAGAAUCCUACUAUCGUCGGCAGAUAAGGCCCGCAGGAAAAUUUAUUAAUAUUUUUAUUUUGUAAGAAAACCAUUGCACUACAGAUUUAUGGAUAAUCCGUGUGUGCUGUGCAGAUAACAGACCCGGGAGCAUGUCAACAGCUUCCCACAAUAGAUAGUUUGGUAUGUAGCCGUGCUGUCAUGUGAUGAUAGAUUUAUGAACUAAUAAAAAAACUUGGUUCAUGGCAGACUAGCCGUCACACUUUUCGGCUCAUUGAUUUGUGAUCAAUGCUUUUUGCGAGCAACUGUGCUGUUGAAUGUGCUCAUAAUUAAUGAAUUAAUAUUGUGUUCUUAUUAGCCAAAGUGGUGUUCAUAUGACAGGGAUGAACAAAAGGAGAUCCCAGUCGUGGAUGUCUGAAUUUCUGGCUAAUCACAGCUCGGAAACAGGAAUACAUAUACCGCAGCAAAAGGAGUCCAUAUAUAGUGCUUGCUGUUAUCUUAUAAAAAGUUGGAUGAGCUAGUGACCACUAUCUAAUCCCAGUUGCAAUCAAUCCAUCAAUGACCAGAAAAGAAAUUAAGAUUAACCUACUAAUUAAUUAAUUCCAGGCAAGCUUUCAAUUCAGUGCUCUACCUCGCUCGAUCUCUCAUCAUCCGCAUUAUAUACAUGUUCGCUAAUGCAGGCACAAAAAUCUUCCCUUAAUCAUCUCGUAUUAGAUAUUUAACAGCAUAAAUCUUAUGAUCUACUCUGUCAAAAGCUCAUAAUUGGUCAUAAUUACAUGAGUUGGCAAAAUACUCUAUCCAAUUGGGUUUCAAGCAACCACGAAAUUAAAUUCUUUAUGUGUAAUCUUCUAGUAGGUGAUCCAGUGGUAAAAACUUGAGAUUAAAGGAUUUGCUUUUCUUGUAAUAUUAAGUCCGAGUUUUGUGGUUGCUAAUAUGAUGAUCAUUGAAGACUUAAAUGGUCGUUAACUUCAGGACUCGUGGAAUUAGUCGAGGUACGCGCAAGUUGACCCGGACAGUCACGUUAAUAAUAAUAAAAAAAGCUUUAUGUCUUAUCAAUGAAAAGAAAAAUACAUGUUAAUGCUAAGUCAAUUAUGUUCAUAAUAGGAAACUAGGCUAAGUGAUUUAUUUAGCCACUUGUAACAUCAUGGUAAUUAACUAAACCGUGUACACGUUCCGCAUAUAGCACAUCUUAUAUACUGAGAAAACCAUGGGAGUUGUUUCAUAAAUUAAUGAUCUCUCCAUUUUUAAUGAGAUUAAAAAAUAAAAAUAAAAAACAAGCGGGAGUCGGGAGAAGAAGAAAACGACAAAGACUACCUAAUUUGAAAAAUGAUGGUUGAUUGGUUGAGAUGAGAGAACGAUAGGUUGUUGCUUUCUAGGUCAAAAUAGAUAACAUUAUAUACUUAAAAAAAAUAAAAACUAUGAGCAAAAGCUCGAGGAAUAUGGAGGGCACAAUUCUAGCGAAAUAAAAUUUUCAACUCUCAGCAAUGUAAUGACUUCCGUGAUACGAUAAAAGAAAAAAAAUAUGGAAAUGAUUUGCAUAUUUUCCUCUGUCCUAUUUUUGAGUGUUAUAUAAAAUAAAACUAAGAGUUAUCAAUCAAAUAAAAUACUAUGGAGCAAGAUUUAUUGUAUUAUAUAUUGCUAUAAUGUAAUGAUUUUUUUUUUCUUAACAGUACAAGUUAGUACAAGUUAAGAAAGCUCAAAUCGAGAAGUAAAAUAAAUUUUAUACGAGUUUUAAUUGGCAUUAUCAAAUUGAAUGUGAGUAAAUUUUUUUUUAUUUUUUUUGUUGCAUAAUAAAAUUACUUAAUUAUUUACCUUUAAAAUUAAAAAAAUAAUUUAGAGAGCAAUGGGGUUUUUUUACUUUUUAUUUUUUUUUGCAUAAUAUAAUUACCUAGCUGUACUUAAAAUUUUAUUUUCUUGAACUUGUGCCUAAUGGUACUUUAAUCAUUUUAUUAUGAUUUUUUUUUAUUGUAAUUGUCAAAUAGACUCAGAAGCAAUUACGUCCAAAAGGUUGCAUGCUCCAACAAGUGGAAGGAGCUCCCGUCUUUUCUGAUAGUCAAACACUGCCUUCCACAAUGAUGCUAGGAGUGAUGCAUCGAGAUCUUAUAAGUGACGGGGCGUGUGUCAGUAGCAGACCAAUGGUGUGGCUUCGAUGAACUUUUUUUCUGCCCCCUUUUUCUCUCUCUUUCUUUUGGUAAAAUACAAAAGUUUUCAUUCAUUUGCGUUUUUUUAUACAAUCUGAUCAUCAUUUUUUUAAUUGUUAAUUUUUUUUAUCUUUUAUAUAUUAAUUUAUUUCUUCAAUUUCGUCUAUCAUCAUUUGAUUUCAUUUAGUUUUUAUAUCGAAUUUGGUCCUUAUUAUUUUAAUUUUUAUUUAUUUAUUUAUUAUACUUUUUUUAUAAUUGGGUUAUUUUUUUUUUCAUUUUCACCUUUUUAUUAUCCUUUUCAUAAUUGAAUUUUGUUUUAAAUUUAAUCUCUCAACAUUUGAUUUUUAGAUUUAUUUUUAUGUCAAAUUUAAUCAUCAUUUCUUUUUAUUGCUAUUUGUUUUGUUUUAUAUCUUUUUUUUAUAGUGUUUUCUUUCCCAAUUUCAUCCCUAAUUAUUUCGUGAUUGAGAGUUUUACUUCAUUAUUUUUUAGGGUUUGUCUUUUAUGGGGUUAGUUUCAGGCUCAAGACCAUAGCACAAAUUUUGAAUAUUAACACAUGUUGACUUCAGUUUUUUUUAUGUUUUUUAUUAAACUUGAUUUUUUUUAAUUUUAUCAUUCAACAUUUGAUUUAUUGAGAAUUGGUCUUGAUGCUUUUUUUUAUUUGCUUUUCUUUUUAUGGGGUUAUCUCAAUUUUAUACCCAUGGUUGUGAGGUCAACGGGUUAACUAGGAUGGACUCGGGUUCAUUUUUUCACUUUUAUUUUUUGCUGAUUUUUUCAGUUAGUUUCUUUAUUAUUAUUACAUUUUUUUAUAUUAUUGAAAUUAUACAAGUUCAUUAAACUCGGUCUAAUUACUAUACAAUUACUGUUUUUAUUUGUUUUUACAUCUUUGAGAACACUUGUGUCAACUUGAUAUUUUUUUUAAUGGUGAAAAGUUUUUGGAUAGGCCGUGGCGAAGCAUGGGCCACUAUCCAGUGGUAAUUGUAUAUAAUAGCAUGCGUGAGAUGGGCAUGUAUUUAUUAUAUAUGGGAGGGUCCAUUUAUUCUCUGUGAACUAGAAAUAGCUGGAGAGAGAGAGAGAGAGAGAGAGAUCCUUCAGAUCGAUCCUCAUCUCUGGCUAACUAUUUGAUGUCCGACUCAAUAAUAGUCACGGGUGGCCCAAACCUAGGUCGUCCAUGGGAGCACAGACAGAGUUUGAUGAGAAUGUAUAUGCCACCGUAAGAAUCCUGUUGCAAAAGCUGAAGUGCAGAGCUAGCUAUUGAGUACUAAUAAUAUUCGCGCUUCAGUUUAAAAGUAUAUGUAUAUAUGAUGGCAAGUUAUGCGUGCUCACUUCCCAGAAUCUGUCAAUCAGUUGAAGUAUCGGGCUCCAUGGCUCUUAAUUUGAAGUCAGUGAAUGUUUAUAGAAUCAAGGAUGUCUUUUUUGUUGUGUUCUGGAUUCUUUGUCUGCGUUGUUGGCUCAGGGCUACCUGGCUCUCAGAUCAAUCAGGUGAGCUGAUUUCACAGUACUAGAUAUUCCCAACUCCUGAUGAACCAUGUGUUUCUGUGUUUGCAAGGAUAUAUAUAUAUAUAUAUAUAUCUUUGUGUGGUAUGUAAUUUCUUUUUUCCCUUUUGUUUUCAUCCAUGUAAGACAUGCAAUGACACAUAUUAUAAAGCCCUAUAGUCAUUGUUGUUAUUAUACAAAGUACUGUCAUCUCAUGUUUGACAAACUAAGGUUAAAUUAAACAUCCUCUUUUCCUUUGUUUCAGUUUCUCCCGGCCUCCGUUUUCUCUUUUCUUUUUUCAUUAGUUUCUUGAUCACUUUUCCCUCCCUCCCUCUCUUCCCUUUUGAGUUUUGGUAUAAUUAAUAAUAAUUCACAUGCAAAAGAUAUAUAACAAUAAUAACAAUAAUGAUGAUCGAUGAUGGUGUUUUUUUCUUUUCCUGAAAGAAAUGAAAGAGUGAAAUCUUCCAUAAAAUGGGAACGUGUAUGUUUAUCUAGCCAAGGGUACUUGAAGGUUAAGUUUUGUGUUACAGUCAAUGCCGUAAUUGCUCCUUUUCCUUUUCUUUUACUUUUUUCUUUACAAGUCGAUGCCGCAAUUGGCUUGAGCUAUGCAUGCACAAUUAAGUCAGGCUAGCUAGGAGACCGAAUCCUCAUGGAUCAUGCAUAUAUUUAUACAGAUCAGAAUUCAAUCAUGAGGAUAUCAUAAUAGAGAGGGAGUGAAAGAGAUUAAAAGCAAGCCCCUAUAACCAAAAUAACAAAAAAACACUGGACCAUCAGCCACAAAAACCGAGCCCUACCCACGCCACUCGCCCAAAAGGGCAUUUUUCGUAUAGGAAUGGAAGGCAUCGCAACUCCUUCAGCUAAUAGGCUGUAUAG